rnacentral:tRNA from 1 species
UGUCCAGGGAUGGGAUUCGAACCCACAAUGUUCUGCUUACCGGGAAGAUGCCAUGUCCACUAGGCUACCCUGUAC